rnacentral:rRNA from 1 species
UACGUAGGCAGCGAGCGUUGUUCGGAAUUACUGGGCGUAAAGAGUGUGUAGGCGGUGCUCUAAGUUCGGUGUGAAAUCUCCCGGCUCAACUGGGAGGGUGCGCCGGAUACUGAGGGGCUAGAGUGUGGGAGAGGAAAGUGGAAUUCCUGGUGUAGCGGUGAAAUGCGUAGAUAUCAGGAGGAACACCGGUGGUGUAAACGGCUUUCUGGACCAUAACUGACGCUGAGGCACGAAAGCGUGGGUAGCAAACAGG